GACGAACGCUGGCGGCGUGCUUAACACAUGCAAGUCGAACGAAGUGGCGAACGGGUGAGUAACGCGUAAUCAACCUGCCCUUCAGAGGGGGACAACAGUUGGAAACGACUGCUAAUACCGCAUACUGAAGGAGGGGAUUGCGUCUGAUUCGCUAGUUGGAGGGGUAACGGCCCACCAAGGCGAUGAUCAGUAACCGGGUUUAGAGGAUGAACGGCCACAUUGGGACUUAGACACGGCCCAGAAUCCGACGUGAGGCAGCAGGGGGGAAUCUUCCGGAAUUGAAGAAAGGCUGAAGGAGCAACGGCGCGUGAGUGAUGACGGCCUUUGGGUUUUAAAGCUCUGUUUAUCGGGACGCGGUACCGGAAUAGAAAGCCACGGCUAACUACGUGCCAGCAGCCGCGGUAAUUC
rnacentral:rRNA from 1 species